UCACUUUCUUAAGUUUAGGUAAAGCUAGUGGUUGAUUUGAACUAAAUAGAAUUCACUCAGUACUUUAGAACGCGUGCUACAGUGAAGAAUGGCUUCAGAUCGGGUCUUUAUUACUAUCAUCUAAAUGGACAACCACAUGCUGCAUGAUUGGAAGACAUCAUAUUUAUUUCUGCUCAGUUGUUGAAGGAUACAAUUUUUAAAAACAAAAUAAGAAAACAAACUUUGAGAAUCAGAAUUGGAGAAACAUAUUAUCCACGUCAACUCAGCAGUGAAAUGAUUAGUAAUUGAUUGCGUGUUCUGCACAUUGUCCCUGCAAAAGGAUGGACAAAUGAUUCAAUAGUUGCCGAUGAAAUUUCACUGAAAGUGACCUGGAUGGCUUCUUGGGAAGAUUUUCCUUCUAAUAAAAAAAAAGGUGUUCAAGAGAAAAAAAAUCUUCCCUCUAAUUCCGUUU